rnacentral:tRNA from 1 species
AAGGCACUAGUAAAAGGAUAAUACACUGCCUUGUCAAGGCAGUAUUGUGGGUUGGACCCCCACGUGCCUUG